UACGUAGGGUGCGAGCGUUAAUCGGAAUUACUGGGCGUAAAGCGUGCGCAGGCGGUUAUAUAAGACAGUUGUGAAAUCCCCGGGCUCAACCUGGGAACUGCAAUUGUGACUGUAUGGCUAGAGUGUGUCAGAGGGGGGUAGAAUUCCACGUGUAGCAGUGAAAUGCGUAGAGAUGUGGAGGAAUACCGAUGGCGAAGGCAGCCCCCUGGGAUAACACUGACGCUCAUGCUCGAAAGCGUGGGGAGCAAACAGG
rnacentral:rRNA from 1 species